rnacentral:rRNA from 1 species
ACUCCUACGGGAGGCAGCAGUGGGGAAUAUUGCACAAUGGGGGGAAACCCUGAUGCAGCCAUGCCGCGUGUGUGAAGAAGGCCUUCGGGUUGUAAAGCACUUUCAGUAGGGAGGAAGGUAGUGUAGUUAACACCUGCAUUAUUUGACGUUACCUACAGAAGAAGCACCGGCUAACUCCGUGCCAGCAGCCGCGGUAAUACGGAGGGUGCGAGCGUUAAUCGGAAUUACUGGGCGUAAAGCGCAUGCAGGCGGCCUGUUAAGUCAGAUGUGAAAGCCCGGGGCUUAACCUCGGAAUUGCAUUUGAAACUGGCAGGCUAGAGUCUUGUAGAGGGGGGUAGAAUUUCAGGUGUAGCGGUGAAAUGCGUAGAGAUCUGAAGGAAUACCAGUGGCGAAGGCGGCCCCCUGGACAAAGACUGACGCUCAGAUGCGAAAGCGUGGGGAGC